GCAAGUCGAGCGGCAGCACGGGAGCUUGCUCCUGGUGGCGAGCGGCGGACGGGUGAGUAAUGCCUAGGAAUCUGCCUGUUAGUGGGGGAUAACUCGGGGAAACUCGAGCUAAUACCGCAUACGUCCUACGGGAGAAAGUGGGGGACCUUCGGGCCUCACGCUAACAGAUGAGCCUAGGUCGGAUUAGCUAGUUGGUGGGGUAAAGGCCUACCAAGGCGACGAUCCGUAGCUGGUCUGAGAGGAUGAUCAGCCACACUGGAACUGAGACACGGUCCAGACUCCUACGGGAGGCAGCAGUGGGGAAUAUUGGACAAUGGGCGCAAGCCUGAUCCAGCCAUGCCGCGUGUGUGAAGAAGGUCUUCGGAUUGUAAAGCACUUUAAGUUGGGAGGAAGGGCUGUUACCUAAUACGUGACAGUUUUGACGUUACCAACAGAAUAAGCACCGGCUAACUUCGUGCCAGCAGCCGCGGUAAUACGAAGGGUGCGAGCGUUAAUCGGAAUUACUGGGCGUAAAGCGCGCGUAGGCGGUUUGUUAAGUUGGAGGUGAAAUCCCCGGGCUCAACCUGGGAACUGCCUCCAAAACUGGCUGACUAGAGUACGGUAGAGGGUGGUGGAAUUUCCUGUGUAGCGGUGAAAUGCGUAGAUAUAGGAAGGAACACCAGUGGCGAAGGCGACCAUCUGGACUGAUACUGACGCUGAGGUGCGAAAGCGUGGGGGAGCAAACAGGAUUAGAUACCCUGGUAGUCCACGCCGUAAACGAUGUCGACUAGCCGUUGGGCUCCUUGAGAGCUUAGUGGCGCAGCUAACGCAUUAAGUCGACCGCCUGGGGGAGUACGGGCCGCAAGGUUACAACUCAAAUGAAUUGACGGAA
rnacentral:rRNA from 1 species